rnacentral:misc_RNA from 1 species
GAACGCACAUUGCGCCCCUUGGUAUUCCGAGGGGCAUGCCUGUUCGAGCGUCAUUAUAACCCUCAAGCGCAGCUUGGUGUUGGGCUCCGCCGCUCGCGGCGGGCCUUAAAGUCAGUGGCGGUGCCGUCGGGCCCUGAGCGUAGUAAAUCUCCUCGCUACAGGGUCCCGGUGGACGCUGGCCAUCAACCCCCCCACUCUCUCAGUUUGACCUCGGAUCAGGUAGGGAUACCCGCUGAACUUAA